AUGGAAACAUCACAUGCGAUCUGGAGCGCGCUUGGGAACAUGUUCUCUGCCAUGUCUCUCUCUCGCGCCAACAACAUCAGGGCUGCCCUCACCAACGCCCAGAAGGGCUCCCAGUCGGCGUCGGUCUACUUCGGCCACAUGCGCGCACUCUCCGACGAACUCGCUGCGGCGGGCAAACCCAUCGAUGAUGGCGAGCUGAUCUCCUUCAUUGUUGCGGGCCUGGACAUGGAGUACCAGGCUAUCGUCUCCAUGCUGGAUGUCUCCCCCGUCCCAAUUACUGUUGAUCAACUCUUCUCUCUUGUGUCUAACUAUGACCAGAGGAUGGAGAUGUUUCAUGGCACAGGCUCUGGCGCGUUCAAGUCUUCUGAAAACUCCGCCUCCCGUGGUCGUCAAGGGAAGGGCGGCGGCGGCUACCGCAACCAGCAGAAGGGCAGCGGUGGUGGCAGCGGAUCACGCAACGGUGGCGGCCACUACGGUGGCGGCGGCUACAACGCCAACCCUAGCGGCGCCUAUGGUACUGGCGGCGGCGGCCAUGGCCGUGGUGGCGGCGGCUAUGGCUCUGGUGGCGGUGGCUAUGGAUCUGGU
rnacentral:rRNA from 1 species